AUGGAAAUGGCUCAAAGAAGGCUAUUCCUUCUUGUUGCUUGAAGGCUAGAGCCUCUGCACCUGAGCUUGAUGCCAAAUGCCAUUCGACAGUUGUUUCUGGGUGGUUCUCAGAAUCUUAUUCCUGCUCUGGUAAAGGUAGCAAAAGGGUUUACUUCAACAACCCGAUGUGGCCUGGAGAAGCACAUUCAUUGGAGGCAAAGAACAUUUUGUACAAGGG
rnacentral:misc_RNA from 1 species